AGUGAACGCUGGCGGUAGGCCUAACACAUGCAAGUCGAACGGCAGCACAGUAAGAGCUUGCUCUUACGGGUGGCGAGUGGCGGACGGGUGAGGAAUACAUCGGAAUCUACUUUUUCGUGGGGGAUAACGUAGGGAAACUUACGCUAAUACCGCAUACGACCUACGGGUGAAAGCAGGGGAUCUUCGGGCCUUGCGCGAUUGAAUGAGCCGAUGUCGGAUUAGCUAGUUGGCGGGGUAAAGGCCCACCAAGGCGACGAUCCGUAGCUGGUCUGAGAGGAUGAUAGGCCACACUGGAACUGAGACACGGUCCAGACUCCGACGGGAGGCAGCAGUGGGGAAUAUUGGACAAUGGGCGCAAGCCUGAUCCAGCCAUACCGCGUGGGUGAAGAAGGCCUUCGGGUUGUAAAGCCCUUUUGUUGGGAAAGAAAAGCAGCAGGUUAAUACCCCGCUGUUCUGACGGUACCCAAAGAAUAAGCACCGGCUAACUUCGUG
rnacentral:rRNA from 1 species